AGCGCCUGACCUUUCAAUAACAUCAAAAAGAACACUCUUCUAAUACAUGGUAUUUCCUCUGCAGUAAGAUUACAUCCUGCCUUUGCAGCAAAACAAACUCAGACAAACUUACUUUUCUCCUUUAACUUACAGUUUUAGCUGGCAAGAAGAAAUAUAAUUAAGACUAUGCAACUUAAUUUUGUGUUCAGUUUCAAGUAUUUGGUUACUUCCCUUGUGGAACACUGCUCAGGUUAGUGAUCGAGCCAGGGCACUUGUCUUCAGUGUCAAAUGUGUGUCUCCUCUGACUGCACUUCAGCCAGUCAAGCCUAAUUCCUGCUGAUCUGGAAAUGGUUAUCAAGUCCUGUAUGUGCAGCUCCAUCUCAAGGAAGCAAAGAGAAGUUACUCAUCAAUGCUUAGGCUUUUUGGUGAGAGAGAUGAUGCCCAGCUUUCAUUCUCAUAUCACAGUGGUGCUAUCGAGUUGCAUCUGUCAGAUGGAAAGAAAACUUUGCUUUUGGACAGCCAUUUCCAGAACCAAGAAAGCACUGAGGAGUUCUGCUGGUCUGUGAAAGAAUUGGUCAAGUUUCCUGCAAGUCCUACUGUCAAUCUGAAUACACUGUGAGCAUCUUGUGCCCAGUGAACCACUCAGUGUAAAGGCUAAUUCAAACACUGACGUCUCUAAAAUGAAUAGCAUUUUGCCUAAAAAUGUUUGAAUGAGACUAUAAUUUUUUAUUUACAGACAAGCAAUAUUUUAACCAGGUAUUUUUUAAGCUGAAGGCUGAUGAGAGCUGUCAUACACCAGGUAUCCAGUUUGUGUUUCUGUAAUUCAGUCAACGAUAGCUUGUUGGGCUGUUCCCAUUUGCUUUCAUAUAUGGACAAGAAAAAAUCCACCAGC